CAAUGGCCGUUAACAGAGGGAAGCAAUCCCGCGAGGAGGAGCAAAACCCUAAAAACGGUCUCAGUUCGGACUGCAGGCUGCAACCCGCCUGCACGAAGUUGGAAUUGCUAGUAAUCGCGGAUCAGCAUGCCGCGGUGAAUACGCUCCCGGGUCUUGUACACACCGCCCGUCACACCAUGGGAGCCGGUAAUACCCGAAGUCAGUAGUUUAACCCUUGUGGAGGACGCUGCCGAAGGUAGGAUUGGCGACUGGGGUGAAGUCGUAACAAGGUAAC
rnacentral:rRNA from 1 species